AUUGAACGCUGGCGGCAGGCCUAACACAUGCAAGUCGAACGGAGUGGCGGACGGGUGAGUAAUGCCUAGGAAUCUGCCUGGUAGUGGGGGAUAACGUCCGGAAACGGGCGCUAAUACCGCAUACUAUCAGAUGAGCCUAGGUCGGUUUAGCUAGUUGGUGGGGUAAAGGCCUACCAAGGCGACGAUCCGUAACUGGUCUGAGAGGAUUAUCAGUCACACUGGAACUGAGACACUGUCCAGACCCCUACGGGAGGCAGCAGUGGGGAAUAUUGGACAAUGGGCGAAAGCCUGUUCCAGCCAUGCCGCGUGUGUGAAGAAGGUCUUAGGAUUGUAAAGCACUUUAAGUUGGGAGGCGUUACCCGCAGAAGAAGCACCGGCUAACUCCGUGCCAGCAGCCGCGGUAAUAC
rnacentral:rRNA from 1 species